UUUUUUUUUUUUUUUACAAUUUAGUAAAAUGAAAUUUAUUUUAAAAAUGUUUUCAGGAAGCUGCAGAAUGGCUAGUGACUGUUUCUUGAUAAGCCUGUAGUGUUAAUUCUAUAUAUGCUCCUUUUUGUGCUUCUGUUUUUGCAAAGACCUUAAUUAAAUGUAAUCCCUCAGCAGCCUGCUCCUUGGCCUCCUGAGCAGACUGGCCAUCUGGAUGGAGGAUGUGAUAUAGCUGGACCAAGCUGGUGGCAUCAUCGACUAGAUCUCUCUGAAUCUGGUCAAUCAGUAAACCAUCAAUCUUUUUCUUAUUUACAAAAUACCAAGCCAUUCCACCAAAGUGUCUUGUUGAAUGUAAAAGGUCAUACUUCCCAUGUUUAUCUAUGUCUUCGUAGGUCUGAUGAUGGAUUUUGAUAUAUUCAGCAGAAUCUGGCUCAAACUGGGCAACACAGAGAUUGAGGACAUCAACAUGUCGGUCCUGGCUGUACACGUUCCUAAGAUUUUCUUCCUUGAAAAUUACUGGUGUUAAAACUCUACGGCCUUCUUUUGGAAAAUAAAUUUGUAUCAUCCUGUCCCGUUCUUCCCAAGAAGCUUUGCGUAGUGUGCCACUUGGUUCUCUGACAACAAUAAAACGCUCCCGGUGUGGUAUGCUAUAUGAUAUAUCAGUAAAUGCGUAUUUGGCUGUUUCUGCUCCUUCCAAUAUCUUAUCUUCAGCUAACACAUCAUUUAUUGGCACUGGUUCUUCCAGAACUGGUGGCAUUUUUAAUCGUACUUUAGCUGCCUCAAUUGCUUUUCUUGUAGCCUCCUCCAACUGUGCCUGGGUCAUUAGCUUAUAGGUUGGUGGCUUCAGUUCUUGUAUAGCUGGCUUAAAAACCUUCUGCAAAUUCAAGCCUGUCAUCUUGAUGAGUAGAUUUUGGACUUCCUCAUCCAUAAAUGUAGGUUUCUUGAUCUCUGGACUACCAGAUUCCGCCUCGGAAGCAAGCCAAUGGCAUGGCGGCCCCACCCCGCAGGGCCCGGCGGCGGCUGGAGCAGGGCACCGAGCUGGGGCCGAAUUCGGGCCGGAAACAGCCCCGCUCCGAGUUCCGAGAACCUGUCAGGAGGCUCCACAGCGCCACAGACGUUCUGAGGGCCGCCAUGACUAUCCGGAGGU
rnacentral:lncRNA from 1 species